rnacentral:rRNA from 1 species
UACGUAGGGUGCAAGCGUUGUCCGGAAUUAUUGGGCGUAAAGAGCUCGUAGGCGGUUUGUCGCGUCUGCUGUGAAAACGCGAGGCUCAACCUCGCGCCUGCAGUGGGUACGGGCAGACUAGAGUGCGGUAGGGGAGAUUGGAAUUCCUGGUGUAGCGGUGGAAUGCGCAGAUAUCAGGAGGAACACCGAUGGCGAAGGCAGAUCUCUGGGCCGUUACUGACGCUGAGGAGCGAAAGCGUGGGUAGCAAACAGG